CGGAAUCAAGCAAGAGAGUUUAAACUAAUCACACUUCAUCAAACACUAAGUGACCCAGCUGUGCAUUCUUCGAUCUUCAAAUGCAAUAAUACGUAGAAAGCAAGUACUGAACAGGUAAGCUUACUUUGUCUUUUGGUUUUUAUCUUGAGUAAUUGUAAUGGUUGUAUUCAAACAAGGUCAUUUCACGGGGAAACCGUUUUCACUACUCAAUUUUGUUAGGGUACACAACUCCGAUUCCAAUUGAAAAUUGAAAGGUCAAAUAAAUUAAGAAUCGACUCCGCACAAAAUCAAAGCUUCACUAAAGAAAUGGAAGUAUGAUAUGUAGCAACUUAAUAAAUAUGACAGAACAUGAAAGGAUGGAACGAGAUAUUUUACGAACUCGUAGCGGUUAAAAACACUAUUUAUACACUGUCAUCUUCUCCCUACUAUCAUCGUAUGAAAAUGCUGGAUCACAAAACUAACCACACUAGAGCCAAAGCUUAACAUCUAAGAUAAGUGAUAACACAGAUCAAUACGGUUGAGAAUACAUUAAAUAUAUAUAUCACGUUCCAUGAUACAAGCUUUGACACCGGUACAUUGAACACUGACUUGUCUCUAUCUAAAAAAUUACCUAGGACUUUUAUAAUCAUCCAAUAAAAUAGUGAAUACUUAUAAUGCCCUUUUUCAGCGAAUUGGGUGAUAUUGCGUGAUACCACGCUUUGGUGGAAGCUUUCUCAAGAUGAAAAGGACCAAAGAAGAAGGCACUAUUUCCACCAACUGCAACAAAAAAUAGGAAAACAGUAAGAGGUAUUGCGGGAGAGAGACAUUUUCUACAAGUACCAGAAUGAGUAGAAUGUAAGUAGAGAAGGGUUCUAACAGUUCAGGUUUGAAAAAAUUUAGGCACAGGAUAUCUCAGCCUCACCACACAGCUUAAAGAAAAGGAAACCCGAAAAGAGUAUAAACGAGACAGCUAAAACAAUGACAAAUGGUAUAUAAGCAUUAAUAUAACAAUUAGAAACAUUAAGGAGCCAAUGGCUUCGGAGCCAAGUGGCAUCUAUGUAGGAGGAAGGGGAGGAGAUGAUGUUCAAAGUUGGGGUUCAAUCAAUCACCUCAAACACCAUUUUCCCACCUAUAUUUUCCUCCUAUCUUCCUUACCAAUUAAAAAAGAAACGGUAAGGAGUAUGGUGACAUAAAUACCACAAUAAAAGAAGUAAAGAACACGAAUAACUUACCAGGUAAUAUAUGAAGUUUAGAAUGGGGUGAUCAAGGACAUCAAGGUUCGCAUCUUUAUUAAAUGCAUUAAAGCACAUCUGAAACAACAAAAUAUAAUCAAACUCAACUUCGAAAGCAAGAAAACAGAAAUAACUAAGAAUUACAAAUAAAAAGGGGCUCUCACCAUAAUGCAUCUGACAAGGAAACAUAAAAAACAUAUGGUUGUCACAUAGCCAACCUACAAUAGAAGCAUCAUGUAGAUUGUCAGAAUAUAUCUAAAACAUUUUCAGAUUUUUUAUUGGAUAUGCAAUGUGUAUUUUAGGAGGAAACAUUAAAAAGUAGUUGUUAGUCAGAUUGUUAAGAUGAGUGAGUUUUUUUUUUUUAUAUAGUUAGGGGGUCCUUGUAUGCAGGGGACUUUUGGAUGCUUUGUAGAAUUGUUGACAGGAUCAUUGACAUCCCGUGUGAAGGAAACAUUGUCCCAUGGAUUCCUUAAUGCUGUACUUGUUCCCUAGAAUCAAUAAUACAAGGUCUAUUCAGUGAGUUUGGGAGUUUGCAUUUGUUUUCCUAGUUUCCUCUAUCUAGGAACCUAACAGAUUAUAUCCAUAAAAUAUCCAUCCAGUAUCAGGUCAUAUAGUUACUCAGUCUAUAUUAUGUCUUUCUCCUUUUCUUUUUCCCUCCCUCUCUCCUUUUUCACUGUAUAUGUCAGAUAAUUUAACCUGAUAUAUUAGUAUCGUCCAACAUGAAUUGAUCCUGGCAAUAGUUGGCCGUUAAGUUUAACAUCAGGGAAAGCCACCCAGCAGAGACUGGGCUCUGCAAAAAACGUGACAAGGAGUGGGGAAGAAAAGGAGACAACAUAAGGGAGGACAAGCACACAUAGCUACUGAAAAUAUGGAGGAAAACAGAGAAUUGAUUCAACCCAAUCGAGAUAAAAUAGAGAAAAUGAGAUUAUUUCUCAAAAAAAUUGAUAAACCAAUAGGUACUUUUAUUCUCUAACAUGUUCAGCAGUACAUUAGGAAAUUUUCCUUUUGCUGUUGGACUCAACGUCUCAGAUAGAUUUUACAAUAAAUUUUAGAUAUGGGCUUCCAAAAAAUAUUCACUAUUUACAGCAGAAUCAUAGGGAUCUUAUUACAAUAAGUGUUGUUAUUAUCUUUCCAAAUUUAGUUUCCCACUCUUGUCUUGCAUAUAUAUAUAUAUAUAUAUAUAUAUAUGAUGUACUCUUAGCAAUAAAGUUAUUCAAUUUUACCCUAAUAUUUGAGACCUUAUACUUAUAAACGUAAGGUUAUUAAUCAUAUUAAGACAUUUCAUAAGUAUAUUUCUUAAACUGAUUGAAAUUCAAAAUGUUUCAUCAUCAAAUUGCAUACCUCUUGCAGCUUCUUACGUCGCCCUUUGGAUUCAACGGGAAAGCGUUGUAGCAUUAAGAACAGUCUGGAAAACGUCAAAAAACGGGUUGCAGGAAUCAGAAAAGGAAGCAAGAAGGUAAUACAUAUAGUAUGCAAAAACAUAAGUGCACACUGACAAUUCAAAUUUCAAUUUAAAAGCAGAAGUUUAAAGUGCUAGAUUUAGUCGCUUUAUCUGGCUUAAAAAAAAAAUUAUUUUUUAAGCAAGAGGAAAUUUCAUUAGAGAACAAGACAUGGAAAAACAGGACGGUAAGUUACACAAGUAAACAGAGAAGCAAAUUCAUUUAGCAAGCCACUAUAGCUCAAAAAUAUCUUCUUUUAAGAAAACAUGGAUAGAUCACUAGAUAGCCAUAAUCUGAACAAGUAAAAACAAAACAAAUAGUCUUGAAAAAAUAUGCUCCUUAAAUAGGAAUUUCCAACUAGCAUUGAUCAGGGAGUUGGGUACAGUCACUAAGUAGCUUGGUAAAGGGAAAUGCCAUAAUCUAUUUCUCAUUUAUUACCAAAUUCCAAGACAGCCCAAACAUCCCUCUAUAGGAUUGUGAUGCAGGAACAUAACUCGCUGGUAAAAAUUAUGAUGACUUAACUGUUAACACACUCAACAAAAUAUAGGCUGGAAAUUUUCAAAAUCUCAGGGUAAUAUAAAAAAAGACCGCGACUAACUACACAAAAUCAGCAUCCAUCAACUUGUUAAGCUGGUUUCAUGUCUAUUUUCAAAAGAUCUGUCCCAGUUUCAAUAAUUUCUAGUUUGAAUAUAAAUUGCCGUACUGACUUUUCCUCUCUUCCCUCCCCUGCCAAAAACAACCCACAUACGAAACUGUUCUCACUUGAUUUUGCUCAGUAUAUUUGAUGAAAUGUGAAAGGAAAGUAAUCCUUGAUGAAACAAAAAAAUGUUUUCUUGCCCAAAGUUUACCUCAUUUGCCAAAAAGUCGAUUCUUCCUCAUCAACAGACCAAUACGGAAAUUUAAAGCUCAACAAAUAUUUUAUUUUGGACUGUGGCAACAAGAGAUCAACAAAAAUGAUUUGAUACCAAUUUGUUGGCAUCAAGUAAUUGAUGAUAUCAUUUUCCUGCCAGUUAAUUUCAAAGCCUUUGGUGAAAGUAAAGAGUCUCAUACUAUGCUGUAGUUAACUGAGAUGGUUUUAGUGAUAUGAGAAAAUCAUUGGAAGCCCAGGCAAUAAAAGCUUGAUCAGAUGGAGCAUAGUCAAAUAAUUAGAGACAGAAUAAUAUGGAGUAAAACUCUUGGUGAACCAAUUUAAAAGGACAAAUCUGAAAUAACAGUCUUCCUAAAUGGCAUAAUUUCAUCUGCCUAAACUAAAAAAAAAAAAAAAAAAAAAAAAAAAAAAAAAAAAACCUUUAGUUGUUUUUAACUAGUUAUUAUUGUAACUAGGGGAUAAGAGUGUUUAAGGGAAUAUCCACAUCCAUACAUUGCAAGAACACAGUAAAUAUCACAAGUAAAACAGUGCCUUUGAUAAGACAUCUGCUUACAGGGACUACAGCACGUAAGGAACCAGGAACCCCCACCUUUUAUCCAUCUUGAUGGAUAUCUUGGUUAUAUUUAUAUUUCUACCACCUCAUAGAACCAGGAAUCCCCACCUAUCAGAAAUCUUAGAGAAGAUCGGAUCCCAAAUAAAGAAAAUAUUUGUUAGAUAUCUCAUUACAACUAAGGAUAUGAUCAACUAAGGUUAGCAUAAACCUUACUUUACAAAUCAGUUUUGUAAGGUUGAGUAUGACUUAAAGUCUACUUUUUAAGAUGAUAUUAGAAUCUAUCCUAGUAAUGUUUGUUAAACCUAUCAUGUCAUCUGUUAUCGGACCUCCUUUUAUUCCCACACUCAAGAUGUUAAAUCCUCAACAUAAGAGUGUAUUGGAAAUCUCUCAUCAACUAUAAAUAUGGUCAAAUUCUAGUAUAUAAAAGAGUUAAAAUAUUACCUUAUAAGAUGGUUUUGUAAGGUUGAAAUAAACUUAAAAUUCUCUUUUUGAGAAGAAUCAAGACACAAAGCAACAGUUGAAUCUUGGAAUUGAAAAUAACUCACUUGCAAACAAGACCUCAAACAUGGUAAAGAUCAGUAUAUACUUCUGAAUUUGGAUAAAGAGCCCUACCCUACCCCACACCAAUAGCUUAUGAUGUUAAACUUUACAUGCUAUUGAGAAUUACAACACAAUUUUCACUACAAGAUUGGACCCUGAUCUCAAUACAGAUGGAUACCAAUAUACAAAGUAUGUAAAAAACCAAGACAUAUAAUUUUCAUUCUGCUACUUCAAUGAGUUGUUAUUCUACUUCAUUUUUCUCUUUAAAAACAAAAUUCCCAACUCAAUGGGGGCAUGUAGUAACUAAAACACAACAAUUUCAUGCCAAUCACAUCAAAGUGAGUCAGAUAUGAAUACAGAUAAGCUACCUUCCACCAUAGAGAAGAAAACCAAUGGCUGCAAACAAAGAGACCCCUAUUGCAACAUAUUUAUUACAUGCAUUAGUAAAAUCUGAUAAAAGUAACAAUCGAUAGAAAUGACAGAUCAAAUUCCAGUACAGACAAACCUGCAAAGAACAUCUUAGAAAGAAUGAGCAGUGCAUCGAUAGGUUUCCACCACAAUAUUAACCACAAAGUAAUCUGAUACAAAUUAGACCAAAAAUCAGUAGGGUCAAAUUCAUCAAACUCAAAACUAACAGAACCUAAAACUUUCAAUGCAUAUGAACUAAUGAGACAAAAGAUAGGUACAAUGAAUAGUAAAAGUUAAUUAACAUCAACUGAUACAAUACAACCCCUAAUAAAAUACCCAAGGUAUAUGUCAGGAGAGGAGAGGAAAAGGUGCAAUGCACCUGAUCAUAAUUAUGAGAGACUGGUCUAACUGUCAAGUGGGCAGUAGUGGCAGAAGGUGUGUAUGAAAUUUUUAAGCGAAAGUGAGGGUAUUCGGGAGGUGGCAAAGAAGUGGCAUAGGCUGGAAACUUAGGCUUGGGAAGGAGCUUGGACCUCAUGAAUCAGCCCAGAUUAUCAUUUCCCUUUACAUAUUUUCAUACCAGCAUUUAAUAGAACAAUCUGCCUCUGAUUCCAUUUCAUUGUUUCAUGGCAGCGAUCAGCUAUCACAAACAUCAUUUUGAGCACAUUAAAAGCAGAUGACAAAUAAAUGUUUUUUUAUUAAUCCCUCUAGGUCCACACAUCAAGCAAAGUUGUGAAGCCACAAUCAAUCACAACUAUGGACAAGUAAACCACUAGUGGACCACAAAACGAUGCACUAACACAACCUCCAAGAUUAUAAUCCUUGUAAAAAAGUUUUUAUCACCAGUUAGGUCCAACAAAAGAAACAAAUAAACCUUAUUGUUUUGACCAUUGUUGGCAAAGAAACCCUUCAACAUUCAUUGCAUGAUCAAACAAAGAGCCAGCAUAGGCAUCUGCCAACUCCAGAAAGGUAGAAAUAAGGCAAAAGGCAUUUGUUCAUGAUACGAACUCGGGUAUUUUAGAAUGCCUGUCUCACCUCAAGUAGUAUAAGAUACUCAAUUAUCCCUCCUUAACAGCUAGUUUUUAAGAGAGGGUUCCCACAGUGCUUGGAUGUUAUAAAUUAGUAUCAGAGCUGAUGGUUGAUAUCUCAAAAAGGGUUAUCUACAAUGGGUCCUAGUCAGUAGAGGGUUGUAAUCAACAAGAAAUUGAGUAAAUAGUAACAAAGUAAAGUAUCAUAUUUAGUGAGCCAUAAACAUGUUCAAAAGGGACCUGCUAUGGUAGAAACUUGGGUAUUAUGAGAUACCUAAGUCUCUUAUUGAUUAAUACAAGAUGUUCAGUACAGUAUAAGUUCUUGAUCAAGGUGAUUCUUAUAAUAGGGUGCACAAGAUGCUUCAUGAUAGUUUUCUAGUGAAAAUCUUGUAAAACUUUGAAUGUUAGUGGAUUGGUCUAAUCAAGGUGGUUAGACAACUGGGUAUAACUAUUGUUUAACUUGUUAGCUGGUGUGAUAACUCUAUUUACAUAUUUUCAUUACUAAUUGUUGAAAAUAGUGAAAACUAGGUAUAAGAUUAAUCUUCCUUGUGUAGAAAAUACAUACAAGAUAAUGUAAUGUAUAUUAAGGAAAAUAUAGGCUAAGCUCAAAUGCAAAUAAAUAUGUAAAACAACAUAAGACAUAAAUAUUUAACAUUCUCCCUCAAGUCGGUACAUAUAAAUUGUAUGUACCAAGCUUGUUAACAAUACAAUCAAUUCUAGGUCUUCGUGAAUGAUUGGUUCAAGGGAAAGGUUUACAUUAGAAGGAAAAUUGUAUGACAGACAGUUUGGAAACUCGAUGUAUUGCUUGAUUUUAGUUUACAGUUUAGCAAACGUGUUUCGUAUAGGUCUGCAUACCUAUCAGUAAAGUCGGGUUUAAGAAUGUUCAACUUCCACAUGUUCAAUUUGUUAGCAGGUGUGGUAACUCAAUAUUUACACUUAUAAACAUUUUCAUUACAAAUGGUUGAAUAUAGUGAAAACUAGGUAUAGGAUUAACUCCAAUAUCAUAUUAAGAAGUGGACUUUAAACCUAAUUCAAUCACAUAAAAUUGACUUGUAAGAUGAAGUUUGUACCCACUUAUAUAUAUUGUGAAUUGGUCUCAUCUCUAAUCAAUGUGGGACUUUCAACACACUCCCUCAGGCUAAGGUAUAUACACCUCAUGCAUGAGACUAGACAUUAAUAGGUCGUCCGAUAUUGAUUCGAUAAUGGGUAGAACAAUACCCAACAAAUAACAAAUUUUGCUAAAAUGGACUCUAACCCAUGGCUCUGAUACCAUGUUGAAUAUAGUGAAAAUUUGGCUGAGGGUUAAUCUCCCUUGUGUAGAAAAUACAUAGGGUAAUGUAUUUAUAAUAAAGAAAAUACGGGUUGAGUCCAAGUACAAAUAAAUAUAUAAAAUAACAUAAGACAAUAUAAAUAUCAAACAUUAAUAACAAAAAUUAUAAGAAUAUUGACUUCACUAUAUUCACUUUUAGUUUUAUUUUAGGUUUGACUGAAUUAUUAUUUGAUUACAUGGUGUACUAUAGUAAAAGACAUUUUACCGAAUUACAAAUUCGAACACUACACAUUAAACUUAAAAUGUACAAUUAAUACCAAGCUUAAACUUAAAAUGUACAAUCAGUACCAAGCUUAAACUUAAAAUGUACAAUUAGUAGCAAACUUAAUAAUAGUGUGUUUAUCUAAAAUAGUGAGUGAGUGAGGAAAGCUAGAGCCAAAAUAAAUGGCUUCUUCUAGGCCUUGCUUGAUUCACUUCUACAUAGAGCAGAAAGAGGAAACAGAGGAAGCUAGUUACAUGUCAAUGAAAUAAGGCAUGUUACCAAAUCUAGGGUGUCAACAUAGAGCAGGAAACACAAUUCGUCCAAAAUAUUUCAAGGUAAAAAUAUUUGAAUCUAGAUUGUUCUUAUUAAAUGCUUGUACAUUGUCACUUAGAAGCACAAAAAAUUAUUCUUCUUUUCUUCAUAUCUCUACAACCAUAACCAUGCAAUCAAUGAAAAUACUAUAUCCUAUAUUGGAUAUUGCAUAAAAUUGUCCUUCUACCGACCAUGUAGUGAGUCGUAGCCAAAGUCAAACAUCGUUCAAUAGUUGAUUACACAGAACCUAAGGGCUGUUUAUCUAAAAUAGUUAGUGAGCUUAACGUGAAGAAAGAUAGAGCCAAAAUAUCCUUAUAUUAACUAAAAUAUCAUUCUAUAUUGGAUAUUGCAUAAACUUUCCCUUUUAGCAAACAUGUAGUGAGUCACAACCAAAGUCAAUCAUCGCUUAAUAGUUAUUACAUACACAAACAUCCUAAAUAAAUAGAAUUUUCACCUGAACAAUAUAAACCACAAAAUUGAUUGUGUAGAAACUUGGUUUCAGUCCAUCAGUCGAUACAGCACGUGCCUGCAAAAGCAUUAAACACAGAGACGGAAUCAAAACCAGACAGCUAAACAAACUGACAUGGAAAGAAAAUCACAGAAGACAAACAACCCCUAGGGGAGCAAAUGUACAACAAAUCAUACUUACCUGGUAAUAAAUCUCAGCCCAGAACAGGACCAAAAGGGCAUAUGUUGUAAAGAAAGCAAGACUUGGCACGUCAAGCAAGAUAUGUUGAACAAUCUACAAACACAAGGAAAUGCAGCAACUAAGUGUAAGAGUGAAUCUCAAAUUCAAUAAAUAGAAAAUAAUAAAGAGUGAGCCAUCAAUUUCGUCAUCGAAGUUUUAUUCUCUCUCCUACUUGGUCCUUAAAAUAUUGAAAGUUAUUAAGAAAUCCCUAAACAUUUGCGACAUUUGUUAUCUUAGUCCCUUUGUUAAUGAAACUGUUUUAAACAUGAGUAGAACAUGUCCCUUUUCUUUAGUGUUUAUCUCAUCUAUCCCUUUUCUACAGAAAAAAACAUCAAUUUGGUCCCUAAGAACUAGAACCAAAAGCAACAAAUAGCACCAAUUUAGUGUCCUAAACACGCAGAAUUAUGUUUAUAAAGAGAAAAGACAUUGCUUCCGUUAGGCAUUUAUAUUUGUAUAAUAUGUAUAUGCAUUUCCUGUUCGUUGACUUUCUUAUUGUUUAACAUAAAAAAUACGACUAAGCACAACUAUUUUUAGCAUAGAUAUUAAUCCAACUUUUGAUUGUCAGAAUAAUUAUGUACAAAGACCCUUAAAAAGAGACACCAAAUGAAGAAAAUAUGCAAUACUCAGACAUUGUUGUUGCUAUUUAUGUUCACAGUAAUUGGAAUUUGAGAUGGUAAGAGAAUUAUAUAAGAUGCAUACUUUUAAAACACCCUAACCUUGGAAUUAACAAAGAGGCAUACAUGUCAUAAAACUUUAAGGACUACUUAUUAUUCUUUUUAUAUUUUGAGAAUUCAGUAGGACAGAAGGUGUGAUAAUUCGAGAACUGAAUUGAUGGCUUACUCGAACAAUAAACAACUGAUCUAAUGUGAAGAAAAUGACCGAAAUUAAAGGCUACAUUCCAUUCCCUAUACCUCUGGCUUCAACCUCUGCACGUUCCUAAAGAAGAUGAAAACUACACACCGAACUGCAAAACCAAAAAUAGUGCAUAAUCCCUUAACAAAACGUUGCAUCACAUUGAUAAAAAAUCAUUUCAGAGAUAUGCAGAAGAAGAAGAAAAAAGGUUUGAACAAUACAAACCCGAAUUCACCAAAAAAUUGAGAAAGUGAAAGACCUUCUGAGUGGUCCAACCGUACUCCGGCACUCUCAAUUGUAUCCGAGCCAGUUGAACCUAAAAUUCAAUCAAAUAAAAAUUUAAAAAAGAAACUGAAUAAUUAGAGAUAAUUUUUUUAAAAAAACAAAAAACCUAAUUUGGAAUUGAAAGAGUGUGGGACGAUACCAAAGCUACGGUGGCCACGAUACCGUAGAGUACGGCGAGGGUGUAGAAGAUACGAUCCUGCCACACCGGAGAGUCGUCGAUGUCGUUCCACCAGUUGGAUGCGUCAGUAAGGUCAACCGCCGCCACGGCCAUGACCUCGGCCAUAGUCUCCGGCACGCCGUCGUUGCCCAUUCUCGAAUCGACGGCUAGUUUAUCACACGCGCCGAGAGUGAAGGAAGAAACGAUGGAGGGAAGAGAAUAAGUAGUCCGAAGAAAGCUCGUGUGAUAUUAACGAAUAAUUAAUGCGUGUGGGCGCAUCUAGGUGAGCGUGAGUGAGACGGUCAGAAUGAAGAUGGCACACAGUUCAGUAUUUAAUAUUUAAUAUUUAAUAUUCUAAGCUCAAAUUAAUUAUUUAGUUAACUUUAUAGAAAUACAUUAAAUAUCUAUUUAAUCUUUUACUUUAAAAAUGGAAGAAAACUUAUGUGUAUUUUUAAGAGGAAUGAUAUGUUAUCAUGGAUUUUUUAUAAUAUUUUGAUAUAAUAUAUAUAUAUAUAUAUAUAUAUAUAUAUAUAUAUAUAUAUAAUUUUUUCAUUAGGUUAUAUUUAGAGUAUGUUAGUACAAUAAUAAAUAAAUAAUAAAUUGGUAAAAAAAAUAGUAUACAUACUAUGUUAAAAUAUUAUCAAAAAUUAUGUGUUAAGAUAUUUUUUUCAAGUUUUUAAUCUUGUUAAAAUUUUAUAAAAAUUUUCAUCAUUUUCCUUAAACUCUUACAAACUACUAUUCUUAUCUUCAUUUAUAAGUCAAAUAAUAAAUUCAUAAAAAUGUAAUUAAUUGCAAUAAAUUUUAUUAAUCUAUAGCUAUUCUUUAUUAAUUAAACUUAUAUCAUAAAAAUAAAAUAAAAUAUAUGGUUAUUAAAAAUGUUAAAAUGCAUUAGAGAUGUGAAAAUGAGUUUGAACUUUUUAAGUUAAUUUGAUUAUAGGUUUGACUUGAGUUGGAUUGAAAAAAUUUAACUUUUAUUAAUUCAUGAUCAAAUUAAACUCGACUCAUUUAAUUAAAGGUUAAAUGAGUUCAAGUCGGAUUGAAGGUAGAUUAUCUACCACAACUUUUUCUUAUGUUUUUAUCAUUUUUUCACAAAUUAUUUUAUUAUAAUUAUUUACUAUUUAUAAUUAUGUAGGUUGAUAAUUUAAUCAUUUUAAAUAUUAUAAUGUUGUUAAAUAAUGUUUAAAUAGUUUUAAUUAUUAAUUUAUUCAUGGGUUAAAUAUGUUUUUAGUCCCUAUAUUUGGGGCGAUUUUAAUUUUAGUCCCUUUUUCAAAUUAAGGUACAAUUUAGUCCUUCAACUUUAGAAAACUCUAGUUUUAGUCUUUUUUACAAAUUUUUUUUAACUUUAUUUGUUGUUUCAAACACGUUUCAUUAUAGCAUUUGGAUUGUUUACACUGUUUGACACAAUUUUGCUUCAAUGCUAACUGAGAAACGUGCUUGAAACAACAAAUAAAAUUAAAAAAAUUUGGUAAAAAUGACUAAAACCAGAGUUUUCUAAAGUUGAAGGACUAAAUUGUACCUUAGUUUGAAAGAGGGACUAAAACCAAAAUCGCCCCAAAGUAUAGGGACUAAAAACAUAUUUAACCUUUUAUUUAUUUGUUUAACUUGACUUUUUUCAAUUUUUAUCUUUAAAUAGUAAUAAUUUUUAAUUUUAAUGUUUAAUUUAUUUAUUUGUCAAUUUAUGUAACUUGACUCUUUAAUUUUCAAUUUAUAUCUUUAAAUAGUUUUAAUGUUUAAUUUAUUUAUUUGUCAAGUUAUGUAACUUCACUUUUUAAUUUUCAAUUUCUAUCUUUAUAAUAAUGUGUGGUAUAAUAGGCGAAUACUUUGAUUGUACUGCUAUAAAAUAAUGAGUUGUAUACUUCCACUUUGAUUGUACGACAAUAAAUAUAUAAAAAAAAAAUUAAAAGAAUAAAAUAUCAUUAAGUCAAUCCACUAACUCACCAAGUUGUGGUCGAGCUUUCUGGCUUAACUAUCAGGGUUGGUCGAGCUGGUUGAGCUAACUGAGGUGUGGCUGAGUUGUCUAGGUUGUUUGGGCGAGUUGGUUGGACUGUCUAGGUUUUGGAUGUUCUGGACCAUAGUUUCAAGGUUUUAGAGCUUAGGUUUGGACGUCCUUAGGGUCAUUUAGGGUCUAGGAUGGAAAACAACCUCAACAUACUCCCCCAUCACGCAUAGCACAAUAUAAAUAUUUAUAGACCUAUAAAAUAAUAAUAUUGACAAAAAAAUGCAUAUUAGAGACAGAACGCAUUGAAACAGACAACACAACUUUAAACACAGGGGAUAACAUGGGAGACCACAUUGCAAUGAACAAGAAAGACAUUUCAACAUUGUGGGACAACCCCAAUAUUCAGUUUUGCAAAAAUGAAAUGCAUAUCACGAAAAAAAAUUACCAAAGAAUAAAUUGAAACCCCAAUACAACAUUUAGUUACUUUCGACCCGAUUCACCUCAAACCACCUCACAGUUCCAACUAAGAACAUCCAAAAGAUGACAACAAACACCUAAAUUUCUUCACUAAACCCUAAUGUCGUUCAAUCAAUCCACAAUUUCACUCAAUCAAUCUCCAAUUUGCAUCAUAACCUAAAUCCUAUUACUGAAUCCUAAUUUUGCACAAUGCAACUUCAAUGAGAACAUCCUCAAUUUGAUUUUAAUUAUAUUUUACUAUUUUUUUAAUGUUGAACGUAAAAUGCCCUUACUUUACCACAUUGUAUAAAAAAUCCAGAUCAACAUGCCAUGUCAACGUAUUUUUAAAGUUAUUCAACCAAUUUAACAAUAAGGACAUCUGUAACGAUUUAACCAAAAUUUAGAAACAAAAAUGAAUUAAUUGAAAUUAAAAGAAAAUUACAAAUACUUUUAAUUAUCUAAACUAUUGUGUAAUUGCUUUUCAAGUCAUAAUCAUGUCCUUUAAAUUCCAAUAUUUAUAGAGUAUCAUGAGUCUUAGAGAGAUUUGUUCUUCUAAAUAUUUACUCAUUAUAGGUUCUUUGAAUUGUAGUGACUUUUUCUUCUUAUUCUAUAUGAUCAAGGGAUAAUUCUGUAUCGUUUUUGUUUGUCAUUUGACUUACGUUUUUUAUCUUGUUUGUUUUUUUUCUUAUAUAUCAUUCUUUUUGUUUGGUGACAAUUGGCCCAGUAAUAAUAUGUUAUCUUGUCAUUUAUCAUCAUCAUGGUCUUAGAGACUUGAUUGAAAAGUAAUAUUAAAUUAAAACUUUAAUUAUUUAAUUUUGUAUUACAUGAAGUUUUAGAAUUGAUUGACAAAAUAUGAUAUCAAAAAUUAGAAAACUUAAACUUUAUGAUAAUUGAGGACUGAUUUGAUGUGAAAUUGUUAAUUCUUUAAUUUAGUAUAUAUUAAAGAAUUAUCAAGAAAAAUCAUAAUUAUAAAUAAAAAAUAUGUAGAUAAUAGUAAAAUUUCUUUCGUAAAAUAAUUUAAUUUGAUAAAAAAUGACGGUAAAAUAUUCACAGAUAAAAUAUUAUUCACGGAUAAAAUAUUUGUUGAUAAAUUUUACGACAGAUAAAAAAUAUUUAAUAAUGUUUAUCAGUAAUUAUCAAGAGUUAAAGUUCGUUAAUAAUUACUAAUAAAUUUUAGUCAUUAAUAAUUAUCAGAAAUUGGUUCUUUUUCUUUUUCUUCUUAGAACAUUUCAUUGAAUUUAAUUUAAUAGAAAAUUUGGUACCUAUUUUAUCAAUAAAAUUUACCAAUGAAUCUAAUACCAAUAGAAAUAUUUAUCGGUAAUAAAAGUUUUAAAAUUUGUAAAUAAAAUUCGUAAGUAGAAUUUACCUUUGAAUUUCUAGUCAGUGAAAUUUUGUCCAUAUGUACAAAAUUUCUUGUAGUAUAUACAUAAUCUCAAUUUUUAUGUGGUAUGUUUGGUUAAACAUAUCAAAAUAAAUUAAAAAUAUAUGAUUUAUUCUUUACAACUCAUAACCCCACAAGAUUAAUAAUUAAUUUUCAUAUUACAUAUUUAGUGAAUUAAUCAGACUAAUCCGUUUUAAAAAUGAUAUUAAAUUUUUUGAUAUUUCAAUAUUUUAUUAAGAUGUCUAUCAUUUUCUUUUCUAUGUUUUACUUUUUAUUAUCCAAUUUUUUAUUUAUUUAAUCUUAUAUUCCUUUUAUUAAAACUUUUAUCACUCUCAAUAUAUAUUUGAAUAUAUCUCCCAUCAGUAAACAAUAAUGAAAGCAUAUAAAAGUAAUUAUUUCUUGUGACAAGGAAAAUUCAGACUUCCCAUCAUCUAAUGAAGACUUCUAAAAAUCUGUACUUGCGACGAUUAACUACACAUAUUGAAUUGAAGCAAAGUGAAUGCAUAUAUAUAAUUACAAUGUCUUGAAGGUUUACUUAAUUACUAUUAUCACAUUUCCAUUAUCAACUCCAGAAGCUAGUAUUUGGUGUUCUCACUAUUGAUCCUCAAAACAUUGUUUAUGAAUGAUUUGCCUUGAUGCUCAGGUGAAAGGUAGCCCUUGUAGAAAUCUGCUACCCCAAUUGUUUUGAAUAAUGCUGGUGUUUCUGGAGUUACAAGAGAAGGUGCUGGACCUAUCUUUCCA
rnacentral:lncRNA from 1 species